rnacentral:lncRNA from 1 species
UUCCAGGCAGAAAGGAGGAUCUCUCUGCUAGUUUUUCAGAGGGCACAAGUUAAUCUGUAAAACCCUGCAUGUUGCAAUAAGGCACAGAAACACCAAACUUUUGUACAGGUAGCAAGGGCACCUGCUGGUUUCCAGAGAGUGGGAGGUUUGUUUUCUUCACAGUGCCGUGUAGUGUGUUGACCAGCACCACCCCCAGAGCUGAUAGCAUUUCACUCACCCCAUCACGGCACAUGUAUUGUUUCUUCCACCUGUUGCACCCCAUCAGUGAACUCUGUGCAAUUGUGCAAUGUCUGGCACUAUCAGUGAUACUGUCAUUUUCACUUAAAACCAAAAUAAUGAUGUGCUUGUUCAUUCGUGAAGCCUUUGUGGCAUCCCUCACCUUGAGCUGCACUCUGUACAUGAAUGCAACACUCGUAGCUACCAGGGAUAAGCAGAUGUUAAGUCACUGCUCAUCUCUCUCAUUAAGGCAAUUAGUGACCUGUAGAAGAUGAUCAGUCAGGGAUUUUAUCCAUCUUGACACUGGUGUCUGGUUGCCUGUACCAAAAGAUUCUGUUUAUGGUCCGGUUCUUAAUUUCUCCCAUUCCUGCUCAUCAUUAUUAUUAUCCAAAGUGCCUUUUUGCUUCUGUUAGCAAAACCAGAAUCCCCCAUGCCUCAGUUUUAGCAGCUAAUGUCCACAAUAGGGGCAACUGAUCCAGCACAGGAGUUAAAUAUAACUGUGUCUAGUGUAAGGAGAAGAUUUAAUGGGAAAUGGUUGGCAUUCUUUCUUCCUAAAGGCACGGGGAGGGAGGGGGGGGAGAGAGAGACGUACACACACAGACACACACACGCAUCCCAUAGUGAGGGCAGAGGCAGAGAGCAGGCAAGGCAGAGAGGGAGAGAGGGGAGAGAGAGAGCCCCAAAGCAGCCCUGCGUCUCUGAGCUGGGAUCUGCCAGGGCAGAGCCAGCAUGUUGGUCCUCAGCCCGCUUGUCCAGGGAUCUUACCUGCUGCUUUUCUUCUGCUUUGCUUUGUCUCAGACUGCGUACGCUGACAAUGUCUUCUCAAUUUCAGCAGAUCUCCCUUGUUUGGAACAGAAGAAGCAGCCCAACUGCAGAGCAUGCUGCCUCCUUGGCCCUCCUCCACCGCCCCUGUUCCCACCACCAUACUUCAGGCACAGCUGGAGAACUAAGCUGGAUGUGGAAGAGCUGUGUCAUGAGCUCCAGACAAUACAGGCUUCCUCUCUGCCUGAACCUCACUGUUCUGCAGGGCCUCCUGGCCCCCAGGUGAGUGAUGCAUAUGUGAUUAAACCACAUUGUUCUCUCACUUGCUCCAAAGUCCUUACAAAGCUGUGAAACAUGUGGAAAUGCUUUUUACCACUCAGUAAGCAUGCCAAGCUCUGGCUUAAUUUCAUUUUGAUAGGACUUUGCAUAUAAUGUAGUCUUUUUACCUUGUGUUCUCAUUC